rnacentral:rRNA from 1 species
AGAGUUUGAUCCUGGCUCAGAACGAACGCUGGCGGCGUGCCUAACACAUGCAAGUCGAGCGAGAACGCCUGCUUCGGCAGGUUAGUAAAGCGGCGAACGGGUGAGUAACACGUGAGUCACCUACCCCCCAGUAGGGGAUAACACUUCGAAAGGGGUGCUAAUACCGUCUACGGUCCCGACCGCUCCUGCGGAUGGGACGAAAGGUGGCCUCUCUAUAGAAGCUGCCGCUGGGGGAUGGGCUCGCGUCCCAUUAGCUAGUUGGUAGGGUAACGGCCUACCAAGGCAAUGAUGGGUAGCUGGUCUGAGAGGACGAUCAGCCACACUGGAACUGAGACACGGUCCAGACUCCUACGGGAGGCAGCAGUGGGGAAUAUUGCACAAUGGGGGAAACCCUGAUGCAGCAACGCCGCGUGCGGGAUGAAGGCCUUCGGGUUGUAAACCGCUGUCAGGGGGGAAGAAAUCGCUCCGGUGAAUAGCCGGAGUGGAUGACGGUACCCCCAGAGGAAGCCCCGGCUAACUCCGUGCCAGCAGCCGCGGUAAGACGGAGGGGGCAAGCGUUGUUCGGAAUCAUUGGGCGUAAAGCGCGCGUAGGCGGUCGGGUAAGUCGGACGUGAAAGCCCAGGGCUCAACCCUGGAAGUGCGUUCGAUA